CAGUAGCCGCGGGAAUACGAAGGGGGCUAGCGUUGUUCGGAUUUACUGGGCGUAAAGCGCACGUAGGCGGAUCGAUCAGUCAGGGGUGAAAUCCCAGAGCUCAACUCUGGAACUGCCUUUGAUACUGUCGAUCUGGAGUAUGGAAGAGGUGAGUGGAAUUCCGAGUGUAGAGGUGAAAUUCGUAGAUAUUCGGAGGAACACCAGUGGCGAAGGCGGCUCACUGGUCCAUUACUGACGCUGAGGUGCGAAAGCGUGGGGAGCAAACAGGAUUAGAGACCCCUGUAGUCCCUGUCUCUUAUAC
rnacentral:rRNA from 1 species